GACACCCGGAGCUGGUGACACUCGGUGACACUCGGAGCAGGUGGCCCUUGGUGACACUCGGUGACACGAGCGGUGGAGGCACUCGGUGACACUCGGUGACAAUCGGUGACACUCGGUGACACCCGGAGCAGGUGGCCCUUGGUGACACUCGGUGACACUCGGUGACACCCGGAGCUGGUGGCCCUUGGUGGCACUCGGAGCAGGUGGCCCUUGGUGACACUCGGUGACACGAGCGGUGGAGGCACUCGGUGACACUCGGUGACAAUCGGUGACACUCGGUGACACCCGGAGCAGGUGGCCCUUGGUGACACUCGGUGACACGAGCGGUGGAGGCACUCGGUGACACUCGGUGACAAUCGGUGACACUCGGUGACACCCGGAGCAGGUGGCCCUUGGUGACACUCGGUGACACGAGCGGUGGAGGCACUCGGUGACACUCGGUGACAAUCGGUGACACUCGGUGACACCCGGAGCAGGUGGCCCUUGGUGACACUCGGUGACACUCGGUGACACCCGGAGCAGGUGGCGCUCGAGGAGCUCUCGGUGACACGAGGACCCCUCCCCCCAAAUUCCUCCGGUGACACGAGGAGCCCCCGCACGGGGACCCCAAAAUCCGCACGGGGACCCCAAAAUCCUCACACAGGGACCCCAAAUCCUCACACAGGGACCCCAAAUUCAUACAGGGACCCCAAAUUGUCAGGUGGGGACCCCAAAUCUUCUCGUGGGGAACCCCAAUUCCGCACCGGGCCCCCC